rfam:Echinostoma caproni strain Egypt genome assembly, scaffold: ECPE_scaffold0000422
GCACUGCUGACGAGUCCCAACCAGGACAAAACAGCUGUCCAGUGC